AUGGUCCAAAAGGCGGCAAAAGAUAGUGAUGAUAAAAUGGUAUUUAACCGUAUGGUUGACCUUUGGGAGAGGAGGGAGAUUAGCCGCAAUUCAGCGAUGUCUCAAACAAAUGUGGAUCAUGUGAGAGAUGAGAUAAAAGAGAUGACGACCAUGGUGGUGAACGAUGGAGGUCGGCCUGGAAGUGAUGUGUAUUUCUAUGCUCUACAGCUGUUUACGAAGAAGGAACAUCGCAAUGUAUUCAGUGCCCUCAAGGAUGAGAUUGCUAGUGUGAGGCUUGAAUGGAUCAAGCGGACAUGG
rnacentral:rRNA from 1 species